rnacentral:rRNA from 1 species
UACGUAGGGGGCAAGCGUUAUCCGGAUUUAUUGGGCGUAAAGAGCUCGUAGGCGGCCGUUCGCGUCGGAUGUGAAAGCUCAGGCUCAACCCUGAGGCGCCAUUCGAUACGGGACGGCUAGAGGUAGGUAGGGGAAAGUGGAAUUCCUGGUGUAGCGGUGAAAUGCGCAGAUAUCAGGAGGAACACCGGUGGCGAAGGCGGCUUUCUGGGCCUUACCUGACGCUGAGGAGCGAAAGCUGGGGGAGCGAACAGG